rnacentral:pre_miRNA from 1 species
CCGCACAUUCUUCGGGUUUCGGGACGAUGUAACCGUGAAUAAAUUGGUUCGUUGUCGUCGAAACCUGCAAAAUGUUCGU